AUGCAAGUCGAACGCUUCUUUUUCACCGGAGCUUGCUCCACCGGAAAAAGAGGGUGGCAAACGGGUGAGUAACACGUGGGUAACCUGCCCAUCAUAAGGGGAUAACACUUGGAAACAGGUGCUAAUACCGUAUAACAGUCAAAACCGCAUGGUUUUGAUUUGAAAGGCUCUUUCGGGUGUCGCUGAUGGAUGGACCCUCGGUGCAUUAGCUAGUUGGUGAGGUAACAGCUCACCAAGGCCACGAUACAUAACCGACCUGACAGGGUGAUCGGCCACAUUGGGACUGAGACACGGCCCAAACUCCUACGGGAGGGAGCAGUAGGGAAUCUUCGAUAUGGACGAAAGUCUGACCGACCAACGCCGCGUGAGUGAAGAAGGUUUUCGGAUCGUAAAACUCUGUUGUUAAGAAGAACAAGGAUGAUGUAACUGCCCAUCCCUUGACGGUAUCUAACCAGAAAGAC
rnacentral:rRNA from 2 species